rnacentral:rRNA from 1 species
UACGUAGGGUGCAAGCGUUAAUCGGAAUUACUGGGCGUAAAGCGUGCGCAGGCGGCUUUGCAAGACAGAUGUGAAAUCCCCGGGCUUAACCUGGGAACUGCGCUUGUUACUGGCAGGCUUGAGUGUGGCAGAGGGGGGUGGAAUUCCACGUGUAGCAGUGAAAUGCGUAGAGAUGUGGAGGAACACCGAUGGCGAAGGCAGCCCCCUGGGCUAACACUGACGCUCAUGCACGAAAGCGUGGGGAGCAAACAGG